GACGAACGCUGGCGGCGUGCCUAAUACAUGCAAGUCGAACGAGUGGCGGACGGGUGAGUAACACGUGGGAACCUACCCAUCAGAGGGGGAUAACUCCUGGACACGGUAGCUAAUACCGCAUACCAUCAGAUGUUCCCAGAUGGGAUUAGCUUGUUGGUGGGGUAACGGCUCACCAGGGCGACGAUCCCUAGCUGGUCUGAGAGGAGGACCAGCCAAACGGGAACUGAAAAACGGUCCAGACUCCUACGGGAGGCAGAAGGGGGGAAUAUUGAACAAUGGGCGAAAGCCUGAUGCAGCCAUGCCGCGUGUAUGAAGAAGGCCUUCGGGUUGUAAAGUACUUUCAGCGGGGAGGCGGUACCCGAAGAAGAAGCACCGGCUAACUCCGUGCCAGCAGCCGCGGUAAUUC
rnacentral:rRNA from 1 species